GACGAACGCUGGCGGCGUGCUUAACACAUGCAAGUCGAGCGGUAAGGCCCUUUCGGGGGUACACGAGCGGCGAACGGGUGAGUAACACGUGGGUGACCUGCCCUCAGCUCUGGGAUAAGCCUGGGAAACCGGGUCUAAUACUGGAUAUGACUCCAUGACGCAUGUUGUGGGGUGGAAAGCCUUGUGCGGCUGAGGAUGGGCCCGCGGCCUAUCAGCUUGCUGGGGGGUGAUGGCCUACCAAGGCGACGACGGGUAGCCGGCCUGAGAGGGCGACCGGCCACACUGGGACUGAGACACGGCCCAGACUCCUACGGGAGGCAGCAGUGGGGAAUCUUGCGCAAUGGGCGAAAGCCUGACGCAGCGACGCCGCGUGAGGGAUGACGGCCU
rnacentral:rRNA from 1 species